rnacentral:ncRNA from 1 species
UACUGGUCUCGAUGACAUCCGGACGAGCGCACCGUACCCGCCAGCGACAAGACGGUGCAGG